CGUUGGACCAGCCAGAGUUAGGAGCUUAUUUCAGGAGGCAAGGCAGUGUGCACCUAGUAUAAUUUUUAUUGAUGAGAUUGAUGCCAUUGGUCGAGCAAGAGGAAGAGGUGGCUUUUCAGGAGGACAUGAUGAACGUGAAAGCACUUUAAAUCAACUGCUUGUUGAAAUGGACGGUUUUGCCACCACAUCUGGCGUGGUUAUACUUGCUGGCACAAAUAGACCUGAUAUAUUAGACAAAGCCUUGUUAAGACCCGGUCGAUUUGAUCGUCAAAUUACCAUAGACAAACCAGACAUAAAAGGCCGUGAUCAG
rnacentral:misc_RNA from 1 species